rnacentral:piRNA from 1 species
UAAUUUCCCUUUACUUACUAAUAUUUUGAGC